rnacentral:tRNA from 1 species
GGAGAGGUGGUCGAGUGGUUGAAGGCAACGGUCUUGAAAACCGUCGUACCUUUGCGGGUACCGUGGGUUCGAAUCCCACCCUCUCUG